CGGGGCGUAGCGCAGCCUGGUAGCGCACCUGCCUGGGGGGCAGGGGGUCGUGGGUUCGAAUCCCGCCGCCCCGA
rnacentral:tRNA from 2 species